ACAAGCUGUGGGAGAUCAUUCGAUCUCACACCUGGCCAACCUUGUUAACCUUAAAUAUGUUGCUUUGGUGGGCCCUGCCGGCGGACCUUUGGCUUCCCGGCCUAGUAGUGCUCACCGAAGUCAUUUUAAAACUCCAAGUUUGUUAUUUCUGCUGUCUGAGCAUGCAAAUGCAAAAUUUAGUUA
rnacentral:misc_RNA from 1 species